UUAUUAUUAUUAUUAUUAUUAUUAUUAUUAUUAUUAUUAUUAUUAUUAUUAUUAUUAUUAUUAUUAUGUCUUGUGUGUCUCUACUUUAUUUUUAUGCAAGAAAGCAGAAAACAAGUAUGGGGGAGAUCCCUCGACAUGCCAAAUACACUUCGACUACACCACUCCACGAUUCAGGUACAUACUCUGCACACUUUACUUUACACAUACACAUAUAUCUUGGAUUAUGCAGAAUACUGUCUCCGACAUGAUAAAUUAAAAAGACUAAAAUGUUUCUAAUCAUGAUUAAUCUCACUUUGUGAUAUUUCCUGAAAACCUGCAAUUAUCGAAAAAUCAUUUUAAAACCCUAUGUCAUUGUGGAAUGUGAGAUGGUAGAGUAUGAGCAUCUUAUUCUUGAUAUCAUUGUUGCUUGGAGAAUUUAUUUCAAAAUCUUCAAAAAUUCUAGCUACCAUCCUCAAUGUUUUAUAUGUCCGAUAAACCUGAAAAUAUAAUAAUAAUAACAACUAUCUGCUCUGUAUUGAGUUUGUUCAAAAUGAGUUAGACCCUUAUUGAGAGAUUUAUCAUGCUUCUAAGAUCAAGACAUUUAUUCAGAAAGAUUUACUCUUCCGAAGUAUUAUUGCAUUAGAGGCAUGGGCUAUGCAAAAAUAUGAGUAUUUCGAGGAAAUAAAAAGGAGCAAGUGCUCGACAACCUCGCAGAGAAAAAAAAAUGGACAAGUGUCCACAGUAGAAUUAGGGGUACCUCGGUAUCCACUUAAAAAAAGGAGAAAAGAAGAAAAUGAUAGCCCAUGGUCCCUCUAAUAAGCAAUAUGCCAGCAAGAGUUGACAAGUUUUUAAUUUUCAAAAUCUUUGAUCUAAGAGUAUGGCAUUCUUCUGCUCGGAUCCCGUUUUGAUCAGGCAAUAAAUGCAAGGUAAGUAUGCUUGAGAAUUUCUGCAAAUUAAAACAGCUUCAGUGAGUUAUACAAAAAGAUAAUGAGCGAUUUGAGAGAACCUAUGAGGAUAAAGGUAUGCUAAAUUUCUUUCAAAAAUAUACAAAAACUCCAAGUAACAGGAUUGAGAAGAAAGGAUCUCUACUCUUAACCAUAUAUUUCUCUGACUACGGUACACAGUGAAUUUUUAUAACACCCUACAAGUAUGAAGAAAAUACUUUACAAUGUUUUAACCCCAGAUAUUUUUCUUAACCAACCUUUUCUC
rnacentral:lncRNA from 1 species